AGCCGCUCCACCUCGUUCUCUAUCAGGCGCGCGCGCGCACACACACACGCACACGGGCUCUUGGCUCGCGCUGAAUGAACAGCGCUCGGUUCGCAAAAGUCAGUCACAAGUAUAAGCGCAGGGGGGCGGGGUGCCGUCGAGAGAGGCGCUGAGGAGACGCCUGCGAAGGCCGCCAGCUCGGGAGAGCGCCUUGGCCGACGCCUGCGCUGCUCAUAGGGCCGCUGCUGAGAGCCAGACAGAAAGCGACCGUCAAAUGGAGUGACAAUCAGCACAUAAAGGUGUAUGAAACUUCCAUUCUAGAGAAAGCUGGUGUUCCACGGUGACCAACGUUGUAAUCCCAUGCAUGUCUGCUCAGAAGUAAGUCCCAUUGAAUUGCGUGGGACUUAUUCCCAUAUGGAGCUUCUUCAGGUCUGCAGAAGUUUGACUCUACCAAAUGGAACAACAUUUUCUGCUGCUGGGGCUAGAUUUUGGAUCAAGUAUAUUGGAAAACAACAACAAGCAAACCAGUGUUUGCAUGGAUUUAGAUAUUCAUUGGGAAAGCAAACAAAUAAAUCUGGAUGGCAGUCAAAACAAAAUAUGCUUUAAUCCAGGAACUUGUAUGUGCAGUACUGUGUGAAAAUAUCUGUCUUCACCUUCCUGACAAGCAGAUGCCCAAGGGCAAGCUCGGGCACCAGCAUCAGUGGCCUACUUAAGAGGGGGAGAGAAUAUUGCAUUUAGUCUCCCAUAAGCCUCCCCCCCCUCAAAAAAAAAGAUAGUUGGUGCUUUCAAAGUAUAUGAGUCCAACCAUCUCCCCGGGACUCUUUCACAGCCCUUAUUCAAAGUGUUGGUGCUGACCUUUAAAGCCCUAAACGGCCUCGGCCCAGUAUACCUGAAGGAGCAUCUCCAUUCCAAUCGUUCAGCCCAGAUACUGAGGUCCAGCUCCGAGGGCCUUCUGGCGGUUCCCUCCGUGUGAUAAGUGAGGUUAUAGGGAACCAGGCAGAGGGCCUUCUCAGUAGUGGCACCCGCCCUGUGGAAUGCCCUCCCAUCAGAUGUCAAGGAAAUAAACAAUUACCUAACUUUUAGAAGACAUCUGAAGGCAGCCCUGUUUAGGGAAGUUUUUAAUGUUUGAUGUUUUAUUGCUGCUUUAUUAUUAAUAAUAAUAUUCUGUUGGGAGCCGCCCAGCCAGAUGGGUGGGGUAUAAAUUAUUAUUAUUAUUAUUAUUAUUAUUAUUAUUAUUAUUAUUAUUAAACAAGAACUGAUCAGGAAGCUGUCUUGUUACCAAGUCAGCCCAUUAGUCCACCUAGCUUACUACUGUCCAACUCUAAACUGAUACAACUCUAAACUGAUACAAAAGGCUCCAGCUUCCAGGGGCAUAGCGUGGGGGGCAGGGGACUGUAGACCCGGGAAGACAAUUUUGAGGGGGCGCGAACCAGGUGCCCCCAUGCAGGAAUCCCAAUCCUACGCUGCCUGCUGCCGGGGGUCUUGACUUAAUUGUUUUCAUUUCAAUCAGUAUUUCCAGAUGCUAUUCAUUUGGUCUGCACGCCUUCACACAUGCACACAUGCUCAAACCAGAAAUAGAACUGUUUUGGUGUGGGUUGCAACAAACAUAUUGUGCAUCUUUUCUGCCCUGUUUAGAUUGGGCUCCUUGUUGAACUUGAAAUACUAGCUAUAAUCACCUUCAAAGAAAGCCCUCCCUCUGCUCAAAAUAAAGGAGUGGAAAUCAUCUUAUAAAGACAGCAUCACAUGAGAACUGGGCUUGACUCCUAUGUCAACGUGAUGAGGAUCAAAAUACAAGACUGCAUCCGUGUUUGUGAACGACAUAAGCAUCUGAAGGCAAGCACAAUUGUCCUCAUUAUGCAGCCUCCCAGCCGUCCCCUAUGCUGAUGCUUGAUAUCUCACCAUAUUUUCAUAUUCAAACAAAACACUUGGGGAGGCGUGCGGGGAGUGCUUGCCCAUUGCACGAGCAUCCACAGAUGAGAGCGCGAUUGAGAAAUGUGCCUUAUUCUGCGCCCAUUGCAGCCAAUCCCACUGCUCAAAGCAAUAACUUAGAGGGAAUGAACAAAUAUGUUUCGAGGAGAUGGAAUUUGUUUCAUUAGCAAUGUUUACAUUAAAUUAAAUUUUAGCAAGAGGAGUCAUUUGCAAUAUUGGCAUCCCUGUUUUUUAAAAAAAGAAAACUGCCUGGAACACGUGGAAAUUGUCAACCAACCGGAAAGCUGCUUUUCAUAUUUUGUUAUGCAGCAUUUUUUAAAAAAGUAAAAUAAAAUAAUGGACUAUAUUUUAUUCUGAAAUGGAGUAAAAAAUACAGUCAGCAAAAACAGAUCCACACACAAGACAAUAUAAGAAGAUCACAAAAUGAAGAAAGGAAGACAUCAGUUACAACCAUCCAUAGUAUGCCAUGCUUGGGAGAGAAACAGCUCACCAAAUACGGGUUGUGGCCAACUAAGUUUCACUCAGAGUAAGCCCAUUGAAAUAAAUAGGCUGCAAUUCGUCCAUUAAUUGCAAUGGGCUCUAUUCUGAGUAAGACCAAUGUGGGUUAUAACCUUGUAUCAUAUAAGGGAGUGAAAGAUCAUGAUAAUUAAUAUUGUUGUGCAGUGCUUUAUUAAUUUAAUAAAAAUUUUUAGAAAAUGCCAUUGCAACGCACUUCAUCCCAAAUAUUCUUUCUGUCUUCUGUUUGUAGUGAUCUUCAUAUUUUUGUUAUGCUUUAUUAUUAUUUCUAGGAGUCAUUCUGUAAUAUCUCCUUGCCUUAUUUUUAUGUCCUAUAAUCUUUUUGUUAAAAUGUAAGGCUAUAUUUGAAAAAUUAGAGAAAAGCUGGGUUUUUUAAUUAAAUAAAAUUUCAAAUAUAAUCAGUUUAUUAGAUCAUUUGUCUGUUUGUGGUUGCCCGUUCUUUUCUUUUCUUUUCGAAACAAACUUCAUACUGUAACAGUAACUGUACAGGUUCCAAUGAAGAUGUAGAGUUAUAUUAAAGAAACUUUGAUUACAAA